AACGAACGCUGGCGGCAUGCCUAACACAUGCAAGUCGAACGAGACCUUCGGGUCUAGUGGCGCACGGGUGCGUAACGCGUGGGAAUCUACCCUUGGGUUCGGAAUAACAGUUAGAAAUGACUGCUAAUACCGGAUGAUGACGUAAGUCCAAAGAUUUAUCGCCCAAGGAUGAGCCCGCGUAAGAUUAGCUUGUUGGUGGGGUAAUGGCCUACCAAGGCGACGAUCUUUAGCUGGUCUGAGAGGAUGAUCAGCCACACUGGGACUGAGACACGGCCCAGACUCCUACGGGAGGCAGCAGUGGGGAAUAUUGGACAAUGGGCGAAAGCCUGAUCCAGCAAUGCCGCGUGAGUGAUGAAGGCCUUAGGGUUGUAAAGCUCUUUUACCAGGGAUGAUAAUGACAGUACCUGGAGAAUAAGCUCCGGCUAACUCCGUGCCAGCCGCCGCCGUAACAC
rnacentral:rRNA from 1 species